UAUCUAUCAACGUAUGAUAACAGCAAUUUUUGUGAAUAUAGGACACUAAAAAAUAAUUUUGCCAUGGCAGAGUAAUGACAGGAAUUUCAGGUCCUUACAGUUUAGUAAACAGAAUAGUUAUCUACCAUUUGGGUAUGGUACAAUUCACAUAAAUGCACACUGUAUCCAGCAGUUACAAGGUCAUCUCUGUGCCCACAAUAAAUGGGCCGAUUUUGUCAUUUAAACUUGGCAUAUGCUCUCAGAGGUGUUGAUUAUUCAAAAUCCCUGUUUGCCCAAGUCUAUUAAGCUUAAAAACUGCAUUUUAAUGGCCCCUUAUGUUUAAACCCUGUUUAAUAUGGCAAACGCUUGAGAGCUACUUACAAACACCAUUAAAUUUCAUCACUAAUUACUAAUAACAGGGACAAAAUUAGUACCUGUCUCAGCUGUUUUAGGUUUUGGAUUGCACUUAAUAAACAGUUGAGAAAAUCCUCUGUUGCCAAACAUUUACUGGGGCCAUUUGCAUUCUGAUUUUCAAUGAGCUAUUAUGAUUUAUACUCUCAUAUAGUCAUCUGAAAGAGCAUAGGUAGGCCUUGAAGACAUUGUUCCUGAUUUGACUUUGAAGCAAUGUCUGUAAUAUCUUACAUUCUGAAAUCAGUUUUCAGUGUGAGACAUCAAUUCAUCUCCUCUAUGAAUGAUUGUGUGUCUCAAGGCUACUGACUUGAGAAUGCUAGUGGAGCAAAUGGGGAUUUUCACAUACACACACAAACAAAAAAUAUUGAAACUCAUUAGACUAAACUAACAUAAAAAAAAUCAGGCUCUAUAGGUUUUAAGGAUCCCUAAAAAUGCAAAAGCUCUUAAAGACAUGAAACCCUGGCUUCUCCAGCCAUCCUUUUGUGGUCCUUUGCCUUGUCCUGCUACUGUAGGUGCUGGCAGAGUUCUAAACUGAAAACAAGGCGAUUAAACUGGCAAAAUGGUUCAGUGCUACACACAACACCAUUAAAUAGCACCGCUGAUUAAUAAUACUAGAAAUUGUGGACUUGGGAAAGUUUCACACUUAGAGAGCAUUCAUCUUGCUGCUACAUUGAAAAGGUCAGGAGGAGACUGCUUUGAGAGUACAUGCAGAGGCAGGAAAGGGAAGCUGAGUCCACUGAGAGACAAGCCCUUGAAACCUGGGAACGUCAAGAGAACACUGGUUGCACAAGAAGCCCAUGAAAGAUAAAGAUAAAUGUUAAACGGAAAGUGGGGGAAGACUGAAGAUAAAAUUUACCUCUGCCCUAUAUUAAUGUAAAGCUGUACUCUAACUUUGAAAAUUACCAAUUGUCUUAGUUUUUUAGGACUGCCAUAAUGGUCCCAUAGACGGGUGGCUUAAGCAACAGAAAAUUUUUUUUUCUCGUGGUUCUGGAGGCUAGAUAUCCAAAAUCAAGGAGAACACAGUUUUUUCUGAGGGCUUCUCUCCUUGGCCUAUAGAUGGCUAUCUUCUCUCUCAGUCUUCACAUGGUCUUUCCUCUGUGUGUCUUGGUGUGCUACUCUAUUUUUUUUUAACUUUUUUUUACUGUGAUAAAAUACACAUAAUAUAAAACUU
rnacentral:lncRNA from 1 species